rnacentral:misc_RNA from 1 species
AAGAAAGUCCCCCCGCUGACCAGCACAGCCACGAGCAGCAUUUGAAGCAACCGAAUAGCCACCAAAGCUACCCACUCCCAGACUGUCCGGGGCGCAUUACUAUCGCUUCGGCGCGCCGGUGAAAAGCCGCAUCCGGGACUUGAAAAAAUGCCGCGGCGGACAGGCACCGCCCCGUUCGAUGAUUUUCCGGACCAGCGGUAUGCCCGGAGGACGUUGUCACCCCUUCCGAGUUUGAUUAAACACUCCGCAAGCCCAAGCGCGCCCCGAUAUAUCCUCGCGUCGGCAGCCACGUGAGAGUG